rnacentral:rRNA from 1 species
GGCUGUCGUCAGCUCGUGUCGUGAGAUGUUGGGUUAAGUCCCGCAACGAGCGCAACCCACGUCUUUAGUUGCCAGCAUUAAGUUGGGCACUCUAGAGAGACUGCCGGUGAUAAACCGGAGGAAGGUGUGGAUGACGUCAAGUCAUCAUGCCCCUUACAUCCUGGGCUACACACGUACUACAAUGCUACGGACAAAGGGCAGCAAACUCGCGAGAGCUAGCAAAUCCCAUAAACCGUGGCUCAGUUCAGAUCGUAGGCUGCAACUCGCCUACGUGAAGGAGGAAUCGCUAGUAAUCGCAGGUCAGCAUACUGCGGUGAGUACGUUCCCGGGCCUUGUACACACCGCCCGUCACACCAUGGAAGUUGGCCACGCCCGAAGUCGUUACUCCAACCCGCAAGGGAGGAGGAUGCCGAAGGUGGGGCUGAUGACUGGGGUGAAGUCGUAACAAGGUAGCCGUACCGGAAGGUGCGGCUGGAUCACCUCCUAA